rnacentral:snRNA from 1 species
AUCUCUUUGCCUAUUGGCUUAGAUCAAGUGUAGUAUCUGUUCUUUUCAGUGUAACAACUGAAACGGCACCAUAGGUGCCAUUCUAAUUGUUACUAGUAUUUUUGUACUCCGCCGCGAGUCCUCUGGGCUUGCCUAUGACUCGUGGCAUCGUGUCGUUGCUAUUGCACUACCGGCAACUGACGCAAAUCUUU